CGGCAUUGUUCGUGAUCCGUCUCGUUGUGGUCGUUCUUUAGUCCGCCAGAAUAAUCUGUGUCGUCAGGCGUGAUUGCAAGUGAUUGUUUUGCGUGACUUUCUUCGUGCUAUGCAUUCGUGGCGUAGUAUCGUAUCGUCGGCUCGCUCUUGCCGUGUCUGGCUGAUCGUUUUGCGUGACUUUCCUUCCGUGCUAUGCAUUCGUGGUGUAGUAUCGUGUCGUCGGCUCACGCUUGCCGUGACUGGCUGAAGCAGUGUCACUCAGUGUUUGGGAAAAGCAGCCUCCGGACGGAGAAGUCCCUGCAGUAAGCUUCGUUUCGUCGUGAACUUGCCUGAGCAAGAUGGCAGCGCAUGACGGAUCCCAGUGGCACCGACAGACGAAGCCUGUGGACGACGCUCCUACUGUCGUUAUAGAUUUCAGGUUGCUUCAAGACUGCACAUUGAAGCUCUACAGCUCCAUUUGACCAGGAAGCCUCCUUGGAAACUUCGUGUCUCGAGGUAGUCAAGACGUGUCCAAGAAUUCGGAAUAGCCACGCUUAAGGUCUGGCCGUGAGUGGUCUCGAAUCAGUGCAACCUGCUGUCCUUUUCGCCAGAAUGCCACCUGACCCUGACAUGGUCUGGGAACACGACACUGCCAAGCUCAUGCACGCAAGCUGUGUCACCUAUAGGGGUCCUGUAUCUCAGAUGACUACAUGAGAAUCCUGUACUACAUGAGAACUACACAUGUUGCAUGUUUUGCGCUGUAUGCCACAUAAAAUAUGUAAUGGAUGUCGCAAAGAAGUGCUUGAUGGCUGCCCAUUGAUUCCUAUUCAUAAAAACUGACUGCUGGCUAUGCUAAUGUUUAUGCCAGGUCUAGUAUAUUGCCGCAUUUGACAGUAAUGAACGAUGUUAGCGAAACUAUUGCUUUUCAUAUCUCCUCAUUCUGACAGUAAUGUGUCUCGCUGUAUUUCUGGACGGUGUUUCUGUAUUUCAUUUCUGUACAGAACUCUCCAUACCACCGCUAAAUAUAUAUAUUUAUAUAUAUCAUACCUUAUAUAUAUAAGGUACUUGACACACGACGUACAUUUUAGCAUUAGCAUAGUGCUAAAACGUACGUCGUGUGUCAAAUGCCUUCCUACAGUAUCAGGACCUUCGUGAUCUUUCUGUAGCUCUUAUAUUUAAGGGUCAUUCCAUGCCAAGUGUCCCAGACGUGGCGCUCGCACAUCGCAGCUUUUGCCGAUAAAAUUUGUGCCUUUUUCCUGUGCCACAUGGAGUAUUGUGGCAAAACAUUCUUGCUCGAAAAAAUUUUGACGGUCCUGGCACCCCCUCGAAUUUCGCUUCUAUUUAUUAAACUGUACCUAAUAGAAAAAUGUGUAUAAAAUCUACUUUUGUGUGUUGAGCUUCUAAACUGCGCUUGCGCUAUCGCAGAGGUUCUGUUUAGUUGUCCCA